GAUGAACGCUGACAGAAUGCUUAACACAUGCAAGUCUACUUGAACUUCGGUUUGGGUGGCGGACGGGUGAGUAACGCGUAAAGAACUUGCCUCACAGUUAGGGACAACAUUUGGAAACGAAUGCUAAUACCUGAUAUUAUGAUUUUAGGGCAUCCUAGGAUUAUGAAAGCUAUAUGUGCUGUGAGAGAGCUUUGCGUCCCAUUAGCUAGUUGGAGAGGUAACGGCUCACCAAGGCGAUGAUGGGUAGCCGGCCUGAGAGGGUGAACGGCCACAAGGGGACUGAGACACGGCCCUUACUCCUACGGGAGGCAGCAGUGGGGAAUAUUGGACAAUGGACCAAAAGUCUGAUCCAGCAAUUCUGUGUGCACGAUGACGUUUUUCGGAAUGUAAAGUGCUUUCAGUUGAGAAGAAAAAAAUGACGGUACCAACAGAAGAAGUGACUGCUAAAUACGUG
rnacentral:rRNA from 1 species